GAUGAACGCUGGCGGCGUGCCUAAUACAUGCAAGUCGAGCGAACAGACGAGGAGCUUGCUCCUCUGACGUUAGCGGCGGACGGGUGAGUAACACGUGGAUAACCUACCUAUAAGACUGGGAUAACUUCGGGAAACCGGAGCUAAUACCGGAUAAUAUAUUGAACCGCAUGGUUCAAUAGUGAAAGACGGCUUUGCUGUAAGUUAUAGAUGGAUCCGCGCCGCAUUAGCUAGUUGGUAAGGUAAAGGCUUACCAAGGCAACGAUGCGUAGCCGACCGGAGAGGGUGAUCGGCCACACUAGAACGGGGCCACGGUCCAGACUCCUACGGGAGGCAGCAGUAGGGAAUCUUCCGCAAUGGGCGAAAGCCUGACGGAGCAACGCCGCGUGAGUGAUGAAGGUCUUCGGAUCGUAAAACUCUGUUAUUAGGGAAGAACAAAUGUGUAAGUAACUAUGCACGUCUUGACGGUACCUAAUCAGAAAGCCACGGCUAACUACGUG
rnacentral:rRNA from 1 species